rnacentral:rRNA from 2 species
GACAGAGGGGGCAAGCGUUGCUCGGAAUUACUGGGCGUAAAGGGCGCGUAGGCGGGAUGGCAAGUCGGUCGUGAAAUCCCUCGGCUCAACCGAGGAACGUCGAUCGAUACUGCUGUUCUUGAGGGUUGCAGAGGAGACUGGAAUUCCCGGUGUAGCGGUGAAAUGUGUAGAGAUCGGGAGGAACACCGGUGGCGAAGGCGGGUCUCUGGGCAAUUCCUGACGCUGAGGCGCGAAAGCGUGGGGAGCAAACGGG